GGCGAGAUAGCCAAGCGGUCUAAGGCGCUAGACUAAGGCUUAAAACCCUGAAAUCUAGUUCUUCGGAGCGUGGGUUCGAAUCCCACUCUCGUCA